UCUGCCUGUUAGUGGGGGAUAACGUCCGGAAACGGGCGCUAAUACCGCGUACGUCCUACGGGAGAAAGCAGGGGAUCUUCGGACCUUGCGCUACCAGAUGAGCCCAGGCCGGAUUAGCUUGUUGGUGAGGUAAUGGCUCACCAAGGCGACGAUCCGUAACUGGUCUGAGAGGAUGAUCAGUCACACUGGAACUGAGACACGGUCCAGACUCCUACGGGAGGCAGCAGUGGGGAAUAUUGGACAAUGGGGGCAACCCGGAUCCAGCCAUGCCGCGUGUGUGAAGAAGGUCUUCGGAUUGUAAAGCACUUUAAGUUGGGGGGAAGGGCUUGCGGUUAAUACCUGCAAGUUUUGACGUUACCGACAGAAUAAGCACCGGCUAACUCUGUGCCAGCAGCCGCGGUAAUACAGAGGGUGCAAGCGUUAAUCGGAAUUACUGGGCGUAAAGCGCGCGUAGGUGGUUCAGUAAGAUGGAAGUGAAAUCCCCGGGCUCAACCUGGGAACUGCUUUCAUAACUGCUGGGCUAGAGUACGGUAGAGGGUAGUGGAAUUUCCUGUGUAGCGGUGAAAUGCGUAGAUAUAGGAAGGAACACCAGUGGCGAAGGCGACUACCUG
rnacentral:rRNA from 1 species